rfam:Prunus persica cultivar Lovell chromosome G7, whole genome shotgun sequence.
UUGGGAGCUCACUGACUUCGGAGUCAUAGGAACUCCGAAGUUAAGCGAGUUGGGGGCUAGAGCAAUCCCACGAUGGGUGACCCAUUGGGAAGUUGCUCGUGAGCUCCUAGA